UAAGUCCCGUAACGAGCGCAACCCUUGUCCCUAUUUGCCAGCGAUUCGGUCGGGAACUCUAGGGAGACUGCCGGUGACAAACCGGAGGAAGUGGGGACGACGUCAAGUCAUCAUGGCCCUUACAUGUAGGGCUACACACGUGCUACAAUGGCAUUUACAGAGGGAAGCGAGACAGUGAUGUGGAGCGGACCCCUUAAAGAAUGUCGUAGUCCGGAUUGGAGUCUGCAACUCGACUCCAUGAAGUCGGAAUCGCUAGUAAUCGCAGGUCAGAAUACUGCGGUGAAUACGUUCCCGGGCCUU
rnacentral:rRNA from 1 species